AACGAACGCUGGCGGCAUGCCUAACACAUGCAAGUCGAACGAGACCUUCGGGUCUAGUGGCGCACGGGUGCGUAACGCGUGGGAACCUGCCCUUAGGUUCGGAAUAACUCCCCGAAAGGGGUGCUAAUACCGGAUAAUGUCUUCGGACCAAAGAUUUAUCGCCUUUGGAUGGGCCCGCGUUGGAUUAGCUAGUUGGUAGGGUAAAAGCCUACCAAGGCGACGAUCCAUAGCUGGUCUGAGAGGAUGAUCAGCCACACUGGGACUGAGACACGGCCCAGACUCCUACGGGAGGCAGCAGUGGGGAAUAUUGGGCAAUGGGCGAAAGCCUGAUCCAGCAAUGCCGCGUGAGUGAUGAAGGCCUUAGGGUUGUAAAGCUCUUUUACCCGGGAUGAUAAUGACAGUACCGGGAGAAUAAGCACCGGCUAACUACGUG
rnacentral:rRNA from 1 species